GGGCUCUUAGUUCAGCGGCAGAACGUCUGCUUCGCAAGCAGAAGGCCCUGGGUUCAAAUCCCAGAGAGUCCA
rnacentral:tRNA from 1 species